rnacentral:rRNA from 1 species
AUGGAGAGUUUGAUCCUGGCUCAGGAUGAACGCUAGCGGCAGGCCUAACACAUGCAAGUCGAACGGUAACAGAAAAAGCUUGCUUUUUGCUGACGAGUGGCGAACGGGUGCGUAACGCGUAUGCAACCUACCUUUUUCUAAGGAAUAGCCCAGAGAAAUUUGGAUUAAUACCUUAUAAUAAUAUUCAUUCGCAUGUUUGAAUAUUUAAAGCUUUUGCGGAAAAAGAUGGGCAUGCGUGACAUUAGUUUGUUGGUGAGGUAACGGCUCACCAAGACUACGAUGUCUAGGGGUUCUGAGAGGAUGAUCCCCCACACUGGUACUGAGACACGGACCAGACUCCUACGGGAGGCAGCAGUGAGGAAUAUUGGUCAAUGGACGAAAGUCUGAACCAGCCAUGCCGCGUGAAGGAUGACGGCCCUACGGGUUGUAAACUUCUUUUGUAUAGGAAGAAACCCCCCUACGUGUAGGGGGCUGACGGUACUAUACGAAUAAGCACCGGCUAACUCCGUGCCAGCAGCCGCGGUAAUACGGAGGGUGCAAGCGUUAUCCGGAAUUAUUGGGUUUAAAGGGUGCGUAGGCGGAAAUUUAAGUCAGUGGUGAAAGCCUGCAGCUCAACUGUAGAAUUGCCAUUGAUACUGAAUUUCUUGAAUCUAAUUGAAGUGGGCGGAAUAUGACAUGUAGCGGUGAAAUGCUUAGAUAUGUCAUAGAACACCGAUAGCGAAGGCAGCUCACUAAGUUAGUAUUGACGCUCAUGCACGAAAGCGUGGGGAGCGAACAGGAUUAGAUACCCUGGUAGUCCACGCUGUAAACGAUGAUUACUCGCUAUUGGCGAUACACUGUCAGUGGCUAAGCGAAAGUGAUAAGUAAUCCACCUGGGGAGUACGAUCGCAAGGUUGAAACUCAAAGGAAUUGACGGGGGCCCGCACAAGCGGUGGAGCAUGUGGUUUAAUUCGAUGAUACGCGAGGAACCUUACCAGGACUUAAAUGCAUAACGAUCGGUUGAGAAAUCAACUUUUCUUCGGACGGUAUGCAAGGUGCUGCAUGGUUGUCGUCAGCUCGUGCCGUGAGGUGUCAGGUUAAGUCCUAUAACGAGCGCAACCCCUAUUCUUAGUUGCCAGCGGUUCGGCCGGGGACUCUAAGAAAACUGCCAGCGCAAGCUGUGAGGAAGGUGGGGAUGACGUCAAAUCAUCACGGCCCUUACGUCCUGGGCCACACACGUGCUACAAUGGUAGGUACAAAGGGCAGCCACUUGGCGACAAGGAGCUAAUCUCUAAAACCUAUCUCAGUUCGGAUUGGAGUCUGCAACUCGACUCUAUGAAGCUGGAAUCGCUAGUAAUCGCGCAUCAGCCAUGGCGCGGUGAAUACGUUCCCGGGCCUUGUACACACCGCCCGUCAAGCCAUGGAAGCUGGGGGUACCUGAAGUCGGUAACCAUAUAGGAGCUGCCUAGGGUAAAACUAGUGACUGGGGCUAAGUCGUAACAAGGUAGCCGUACCGGAAGGUGUGGCUGGAACACCUCCUU